UACGUAGGGACCGAGCGUUGUCCGGAAUCAUUGGGCGUAAAGAGCGUGUAGGCGGCCCCUUAAGUCCUGCGUGAAAUCCUGCGGCUCAACCGCAGACGGUCGUGGGAAACUGGAGGGCUAGAGUGCGGGAGAGGAGGGUGGAAUUCCCGGUGUAGCGGUGAAAUGCGCAGAUAUCAGGAGGAACACCGGUGGCGAAGGCGGCUUGCUGGGCCUUACCUGACGCUGAGGAGCGAAAGCGUGGGGAGCGAACAGG
rnacentral:rRNA from 1 species